UACGUAGGGUCCGAGCGUUGUCCGGAAUUAUUGGGCGUAAAGGGCUCGUAGGCGGUUCGUCACGUCGGGAGUGAAAACACCGGGCUUAACUCGGUGCUUGCUUUCGAUACGGGCAGACUAGAGGCAUGCAGGGGAGAACGGAAUUCCUGGUGUAGCGGUGAAAUGCGCAGAUAUCAGGAGGAACACCGGCGGCGAAGGCGGUUCUCUGGGCAUGUCCUGACGCUGAGGAGCGAAAGUGUGGGGAGCGAACAGG
rnacentral:rRNA from 1 species